AAUAUUUCCUAUCAUCCUAUAAGUGGAUUGUCGUAUUGUAAAUGUCUGCCGAUACUUGCUCACCAGGUUUUGAAGGGGAGCUGGUGGAGUUCCUGAAAGUGACAUAAAAACUUGGUGAAGGAUCCAGACAACGAUCCACAGUUGUAAGGCUGAUGGAGCUCGAAGGGAAUUCAGGGGACCCUCAGUUGCUACUUCCUGGCUUUAAAUGGAGACGUGCCCACAGCAUGGACGCAGGGAAUUUGGCACCAUUCGUCAUAAAUUCACAGUGUUUCCUGGGAUGACUUGCAAGCUUUGAAACUAACUCUUUGGACAUAGGCAGUGGAUUGUACGUACAUGUUUCAUAUUUAUCUUCCAUGACUGAUUGAAAGCUCCGUGAAGGAAGACCUGUGACGUCCUAUUCAUAGCUGUAUUCAACAACCCAGCACACAAAACCAAUUCUUGAUCAAUGAGUGAAUAAGAUACAUUGCCCUCUACUAUAUCUCCUCCAUUGAGAAUGUGCCUACCCAGGGAUACCCCUUUUAUUUUAUGAUAGGCACUCUAUUAAUUUGCUAGGGCUGCCAUAACAAAGUGCCACAGACUGGCUGGUCCAAAGGAUAGCAAAUCAUUGUCUCCGUUCUGGAGGUAGGAAGUCCAAGAUCAAGGUUCCAGAAGGUUGGUUCCUUCUGGGGCUGUGAAAAAGAAUAUAUUUCAUGUUUCUCUCUCUCCUAGCUUCUGGGGCUAGCUAGCAGCGUUUGGUAUUUCUUUCUGUUUGAAGCAUCACUCUCAUCUCUGCCUUCAUCUUCAUGGGGCAUUCUAACUCUAUGUAUGUCUGUGUCCAGAUUCCUUGUCUUAUAAGGACACUGGUCAUAGUGGAUUAAGAUCCACCCUUGGGACGCCUGGGUGGGUCAGUGGUUGAGCAUCUGCCUUCAGCCCAGGGCAUGAUCCUGGGGUCCUGGGAUCGAGUCCCACAUCAUGCUCCCUGCGAGGACCCUGCUUCUCCCUCUGCCUGUGUCUCUGCCUCUCCCUCUCUGUCCCUCAUGAAUAAAUAAAUAAAUCUUAAGAAAAAAAGACUGACACUGAUGAUUUCAUUUUAACUCAACUACCUCUGCAAAGACCCUGUAGCCAAGUAAGGUCAGACUGGGUGAUACUGGGGGUUAAGACCCAAUAUACCUUAUUCAAUCUAUAAUAGCUAUCAUGUUUUCUUCUUAUUUUUAUUUCAUUUUCUGCAAUUUUGUGAGUCCUUUAAGUGGACAUUAAAUGUCAUUUGUAAAUCCAAAACAAACAAACAAACAAACCAUUGACAAGAUGGGGAAAGAAUAAAGAAGAUUGAUAAAAGGACCAAUAACACUAUCCUCAUCUCCAUUCAUAGGAUACAUAGAGCAGACCCAAUGUUGGGUAUGGGGUGGGGUCUCACCACAGUCUGUGACAGCUUCCUUCCUAUGUGGCCUACUUCUUGGGCUUCAGGUAUUCAAGUCAGUUUGUAAUAGUGAUCCCUGUCCACAGGACCACCUGGGUUGCACCCCAGCCAGUCCCAUUGUAUCUAGAAAAUCUACCCCUCUGUUUUUCC
rnacentral:lncRNA from 1 species